GGGCAGCCUCUGGGCCCUUGGCCUCAGUCAGCAGUCAUUGCAGUGGUGGUGGUGCUGCUGUUGUUGAUCCCCUUGUCUGCCGGGAUCCUCUGGUUCGUGUUCUGCAGAAAAAAGAGGGCCUUGCCCAGCAAAGCCGAGGAGGAUCACUACACAGAGCUCCAGCCAUAUGAGAAUGUACAUGGGGAUAAUUACUGCGUGAUCAAGACUUUUCUUGAGAAAGACGCAGGAGAGUCAGAGCAGGGAGGAAGAAGAGCAGCUGGAGUGGACAUCUGAGGACAUCUGAGUGAUGGCACUUCCCUUCUCAAGGCUUGGUCCUCCACCACCAGAAACACUGAAUCAUCUCAUGGGUUACUGCUUCCCCCCAGAUUUUCUUCUUCAUCAAACUCCAGAAUCCUCUGUCACAGCACAGGAGCAGCUCAAGGCAGGGGAUGACCUGCUUGUGCCAGCAAGGAUAUGUCCUGGUAGUUCUCUAGUGCUCCGGCAUAGCCAUCUCACCAGCAUCUUGGUGCCUGCAAAUGUCCUCUGAGAAUGAAGCAGCUCACAACUCCUCUUUUCACCCUGUGUUCUUGUACCCAUCUAGACCCUGUCCUCUGCUUGAGUUUGGCCUAGCUGUGCUGCCCUGGCCGCUGUGCUGCUGUGUCUGAAACAACCAAUAAAUUGUUCUGGUGUGCAGAUGCUGCCUGGCCC